GGAAUAUUGGACAAUGGGGGCAACCCUGAUCCAGCCAUGCCGCGUGUGUGAAGAAGGCCUUCGGGUUGUAAAGCACUUUAAGCAGGGAGGAAAGGGCAACGGUUAAUACCCGUUGCAGUUGACGUUACCUGCAGAAUAAGCACCGGCUAACUUCGUGCCAGCAGCCGCGGUAAUACGAAGGGUGCAAGCGUUAACCGGAAUUACUGGGCGUAAAGCGCGCGUAGGCGGUUUGGUCAGUUGGAUGUGAAAGCCCAGGGCUCAACCUUGGAAUUGCAUUCAAUACUGCCAGGCUAGAGUACGGGAGAGGGGGGUAGAAUUCCACGUGUAGCGGUGAAAUGCGUAGAGAUGUGGAGGAGUACCGGUGGCGAAGGCGGCCCCCUGGAUCGAUACUGACGCUGAGGUGCGAAAGCGUGGGGAGCA
rnacentral:rRNA from 1 species